UACUUCAGUCCCUCACAGCCUCGUUUUCAUUCCCGUCGGAAAUUAAAUAUGGCGCUUCCCUGACUAUUAUCUGCAUUUUUUUCUAUAU